GCUCUGCGAAGCUCUGGGGAGAAGGGAGGCCAGCACAGACAUACACGGACACAGCCCACAUAUAUUCCAGCCCGGACUGGGAACAGGCACUGGGAUUACUGCUGAUAACCCGGACCGGAAAGCCGUGCACGGACCGAGGACAGAAGAAAACUGGUUGAGAAGGAAGCCACCAACAAGCUAUUCGUCUUUCUGGCAAAACAGGGCUUGAAAGUAUAGGAAAAUAAAUUACAAUACCUAGAAGGAGAAGUCAAGUAUUUAGGGCAUCUGGCAUCUGAGGGGGAACAAAGAAUAAAUCCAGAGAGGAUUCAGAGAACUGCUGAUCUACCUCUACACAAAACUAAAAAGAAGUAAAAGUUGCUCUACAUGAACAAAAGGAAUGAAUUACCUCAAUUUCAAACAAAAGAUGCUUUUCUUAAGAACUAUAUACUCGGGCUGUCAUCCUCUUUGUCAUCUCUCAGGACCCGGGGACUGUUAGCUCAAACCCCACCCUUGGAAGUCCUGAUCCAUCCAUUCCGAGCAGGAGAUUGGGAUCUGAUGCAGACACUGAGAGAACUGAAACUGCAACCUGAGUGGGACGGACUGUUCCAAGUGCUCCUGACUACCAAGACGACAGUAAGAAUGGGUGAGAAAGGGUGGACUCAUACCUGGGUAAAAGCAUCAGUUAAAAAGCCCUGAUACCUGAGAGACUGCAAACUUAACAAAGACUUUUAAGCUUAAAACUGUUAAAACGAUCUGUUGUAAACCUUUAACUUCUCCUCAGAAGAAUUCUUAAUGAAUUAAUGAGUAAAAGGGACUGAAUUACA